rnacentral:rRNA from 1 species
GCGGCAACAGCUCAAAUUUGAAAUCUGGCCCCUAGGGUCCGAGUUGUAAUUUGUAGAGGAUGCUUUUGGUGAGGUGCCGCCCGAGUUCCCUGGAACGGGACGCCGCAGAGGGUGAGAGCCCCGUCUGGCUGGCCACCGAGCCUCUGUAAAGCUCCUUCAACGAGUCGAGUAGUUUGGGAAUGCUGCUCAAAAUGGGAGGUAUAUGUCUUCUAAAGCUAAAUAUUGGCCAGAGACCGAUAGCGCACAAGUAGAGUGAUCGAAAGAUGAAAAGC